rnacentral:rRNA from 1 species
UGGGGAAUUUUGGACAAUGGGCGAAAGCCUGAUCCAGCAAUGCCGCGUGUGUGAAGAAGGCCUUCGGGUUGUAAAGCACUUUUGUCCGGAAAGAAAUCCUUGGCUCUAAUACAGUCGGGGGAUGACGGUACCGGAAGAAUAAGCACCGGCUAACUACGUGCCAGCAGCCGCGGUAAUACGUAGGGUGCAAGCGUUAAUCGGAAUUACUGGGCGUAAAGCGUGCGCAGGCGGUUUGCUAAGACCGAUGUGAAAUCCCCGGGCUCAACCUGGGAACUGCAUUGGUGACUGGCAGGCUAGAGUAUGGCAGAGGGGGGUAGAAUUCCACGUGUAGCAGUGAAAUGCGUAGAGAUGUGGAGGAAUACCGAUGGCGAAGGCAGCCCCCUGGGCCAAAUACUGACGCUCAUGCACGAAAGCGUGGGGAGCAAACAGGAUUAGAUACCCUGGUAGUCCACGCCCUAAAACGAUGUCAACUAGUUGUUGGGGGAUUCAUUUCCUUAGUAACGUAGCUAACGCGUGAAGUUGACCGCCUGGGGAGUACGGUCGCAAGAUUAAAACUCAAAUGAAUUGACGGGGUCAUAGCUGUUUCCU